CAAGCUGGGACGGAAUCCCUAGGAGGCGGCGUCCGCCAGGCAAGGAGGGGCGGGGGCACCGUGGACCGAAGCUUUCGCACACGGCGGGCUCCGGCCCACUCUAGCAGCAAAGGCGCCCGCGGGAGGCGUGAAUACCAUGGGCUCUUGCUCCGGCCGCUGCACGCUUCUUGCGCUCUGCGCUCUUCAGUUGGUCACUGCUCUGGAACGGCAGGUGUUUGACUUCCUGGGCUACCAGUGGGCACCCAUCCUGGCCAACUUCAUCCACAUCAUCGUGGUCAUCUUGGGGCUCUUCGGCACUCUCCAAUAUCGGCCACGCUACAUUGUGGUGUAUGCUGUGUGGGCAGCUGUCUGGGUUACCUGGAAUGUCUUCAUUAUCUGCUUCUACCUGGAAGUGGGGGGCCUCUCGAAGGACAGUGAGCUCUUGACCUUCAAUCUCUCCCGGCACCGCUCCUGGUGGAAAGAGCAUGGUCCAGGCUGUCUUCAUGGAGAGGCAGCUACAUCUGGCCUGGGAGCAAUGCCUGGCCAGUCCUUAGUGGUAGAUGCUGGCUGUGCCACAGUGUACAGCUAUAUGGAAGCCCUGCACAGUGGUCUGCAGAUCCUGCUGGCGCUCCUGGGUUUCGUCUAUGGCUGCUACGUGGUCAGCGUACUCACAGAAGAAGAAGACAGCUUUGAUUUCAUUGGUGGAUUUGACCCAUUCCCCCUGUACCAUGUCAAUGAAAAGCCGUCCAGCCUCUUGUCCAAGCAGGCAUAUUUAUCACAUUUCCUUCUCUAAAGCAGUACCACGGCCCUACAGAUGCCAUGGCCAUGCCUGGGCUUCCUGGAAGUCUUGGAAUUGAGGCCUGCGUAAGUGAGAGAACAGUUGACCCUGCUCCUGCAACCCAGUUUCAGCUGCCGGAACAAUGAGGAGACUCCAGGCCUGGAGUCACGGCCCUGCUUCCCUGCCCGCCUAGCAUUCUUUCCAAAUUCCCCUUGGAUACCAGUGAGGGGUGGGGCACACUGAAGGCCAGGGUGGCUGCGACUGUGAGUUUGUAAUUUCUCUUUCUUUCUCUCUUCCUUUCUUUUUUUCUAAAAAAAAAAAUAGUAAGACAAGACAUGAGAGAAUACAGAAACAAACUGGACCCCGGUCUUCUUGGGUGACUGGCAGUGAACCUAGGCAGUUUUCCCAGGCGCCCCCAGAGUGCUCUGACCUGAGGUUACAGGACCUGCAGACCACACACCACAAAGGGAAAGGCUCAUCAGAGGACAAUGAGAGGUUCAGUCCCAUCUGGAAGUCCCUAUGAGCCACCACGAUCCAAGAGUGAC